UCUGUAGAUUCAAUUCAUGGCGACGAUAAAAAGAUUCGAAUGUAGAUAGCCGGUGAUAGUUCUUCAAAAAAUAAAUGUAUUCCGUUGUUUGUACUCGAUUUGUACCCGUUUUUACUGAUCUUAAAAUAUUUAUGAAAUACAGAAGUGUCAUGCAAGAAGCUUAUUUCGAUUAUCAUUAGUAAAAUAUAAUAAAUAUUGGAAUCAUCAGCAAAUUGGCCAUAAAAAAAAUCAUAUUGAAGACCUUUGUCGAAGAUGACAGAUAAUGACAGAAAUCUGUCCAUAGACACAUUAAAAAGCUGGAAACCUAAUGGGGACGAAAAGAUAGUAUCACUUAAAUAACUCUACUAUUUAUCUAGCGUUAUUAUCGGGGAUAAUUAUCAGUGGAGAUAAUGUAUGACGCAGCUUGGCC